AUUGAACGCUGGCGGCAGGCCUAACACAUGCAAGUCGAACGGUAACAGAAAGCAGCUUGCUGCUUUGCUGACGAGUGGCGGACGGGUGAGUAAUGUCUGGGAAACUGCCUGAUGGAGGGGGAUAACUACUGGAAACGGUAGCUAAUACCGCAUAACGUCGCAAGACCAAAGAGGGGGACCUUCGGGCCUCUUGCCAUCGGAUGUGCCCAGAUGGGAUUAGCUUGUUGGUGGGGUAACGGCUCACCAAGGCGACGAUCUCUAGCUGGUCUGAGAGGAUGACCAGCCACACUGGAACUGAGACACGGUCCAGACUCCUACGGGAGGCAGCAGUGGGGAAUAUUGCACAAUGGGCGCAAGCCUGAUGCAGCCAUGCCGCGUGUAUGAAGAAGGCCUUCGGGUUGUAAAGUACUUUCAGCGGGGAGGAAGGGAGUAAAGUUAAUACCUUUGCUCAUUGACGUUACCCGCAGAAGAAGCACCGGCUAACUCCGUGCCAGCAGCCGCGGUAAU
rnacentral:rRNA from 1 species